GACGAACGCUGGCGGCGUGCUUAACACAUGCAAGUCGAACGGUGAAGGGACUGGUUUUGCUGGUCCUGGAUGAGUGGCGAACGGGUGAGUAACACGUGAGUAACCUGCCCCCUUCUUCUGGAUAACCGCAUGAAAGUGUGGCUAAUACGGGAUAUUCUGGGUCUGUCGCAUGGUGGGCCUGGGAAAGAUUGCGCCUUUUUUGGUGUUUUUGGUGGGGGAUGGGCUCGCGGCCUAUCAGCUUGUUGGUGGGGUGAUGGCCUACCAAGGCGGUGACGGGUAGCCGGCCUGAGAGGGUGGACGGUCACACUGGGACUGAGACACGGCCCAGACUCCUACGGGAGGCAGCAGUGGGGAAUAUUGCACAAUGGGCGCAAGCCUGAUGCAGCGACGCCGCGUGAGGGAUGGAGGCCUUCGGGUUGUGAACCUCUUUCGCCAGUGAAGCAGGCCUGCCUCUUUUUGUGGGUGGGUGGACGGUAGCUGGAUAAGAAGCGCCGGCUAACUACGU
rnacentral:rRNA from 1 species